GACGAACCGUGCGAACGUUGUUCGGAAUUACUGGGCGUAAAGCGCGCGCAGGCGGUUCUCCAAGUCAGUGGUGAAAGCCCGGAGCUCAACUCCGGAACUGCCAUUGAAACUGUUGAACUUGAGGACGAGAGAGGUGAGUGGAAUUCCCAGUGUAGAGGUGAAAUUCGUAGAUAUUGGGAAGAACACCGGUGGCGAAGGCGGCUCACUGGCUCGUAACUGACGCUCAGGCGCGACAGCGUGGGGAGCAAACAGG
rnacentral:rRNA from 1 species